rnacentral:rRNA from 1 species
UACGUAGGGUGCAAGCGUUAAUCGGAAUUACUGGGCGUAAAGGGCGCGUAGGCGGUCUGCUAAGUUGGAUGUGAAAACUCUGGGCUUAACCCAGAGCCUGCAUUCAAUACUGACAGGCUAGAGUUCUGGAGGGGAUAGCGGAAUUCCUGGUGUAGCGGUGAAAUGCGUAGAUAUCAGGAGGAACACCGGUGGCGAAGGCGGGUCUCUGGGCCGAAACUGACGCUGAGGAGCGAAAGCGUGGGGAGCGAACAGG